rnacentral:rRNA from 1 species
UACAGAGGGUGCGAGCGUUAAUCGGAAUUACUGGGCGUAAAGCGCGCGUAGGCGGCUUUGCAAGUCGGAUGUGAAAUCCCCAGGCUUAACCUGGGAACUGCAUUCGAGACUGCAUUGCUAGAGUAUGGGAGAGGGAAGUGGAAUUUCCGGUGUAGCGGUGAAAUGCGUAGAUAUCGGAAGGAACAUCAGUGGCGAAAGCGACUUCCUGGACCAAUACUGACGCUCAUGUGCGAAAGCGUGGGGAGCAAACGGG